rnacentral:rRNA from 1 species
AUUGAACGCUGGCGGCAGGCCUAACACAUGCAAGUCGAACGAGUGGCGGACGGGUGUGUAAUGUCUGGGAAACUGCCCGAUGGAGGGGGAUAACUCCUGGAAACGGUAGCUAAUACCGCAUACGCUCGGAUAUGCCCAGAUGGGAGUAGCUUGUGGGUGGGGUAACGGCUCACCUGGGCGACGAGCCCUAGCUGGUCUGAGAGGAUGACCAGCAACACGCGAACUGAGACACGGUCCAGAAUCCUACGGGAGGCAGCAGUGGGGAAUAUUGCACAAUGGGCGCAAGCCUGAUGCAGCCAUGCCGCGUGUAUGAAGAAGGCCUUCGGGUUGUAAAGUACUUUCAGCGGGGAGGCGUUACCCGCAGAAGAAGCACCGGCUAACUCCGUGCCAGCAACCGCGGUAAUAC